AGCCUGAUGCAGCCACGCCGCGUGAGGGAUGAAGGUUUUCGGAUCGUAAACCUCUGUCACAAGGGAAGAAACCGCACUGUGCUAAUCAGCAGUGCCUUGACGGUACCUUCAAAGGAAGCACCGGCUAAGUCCGUGCCAGCAGCCGCGGUAAUA
rnacentral:rRNA from 1 species